UACAGAGGGGGCAAGCGUUGUUCGGAAUUACUGGGCGUAAAGGGCGCGUAGGCGGCCUUCUAAGUCGAACGUGAAAUCCCACGGCUCAACCAUGGAAGUGCUUUCGAAACUGCUGAGCUUGAGGAUUGCAGAGGAGACUGGAAUUCCUGGUGUAGCGGUGAAAUGCGCAGAUAUCAGGAAGAACACCGAUGGCGAAGGCAGCUCUCUGGGACGGUACUGACGCUGAGACGCGAAAGCGUGGGGAGCGAACAGG
rnacentral:rRNA from 1 species